rnacentral:rRNA from 1 species
GUAUGUGCAAACAAUGUUAAUGUACUAGAUCCCAUUAAAAACUUGUAGUUAAGUGUGCUUGGGCUAGAGUAGUAUUGGGAUGGGUGGCCUCUUGGGAAGUCCUAGUGUUUUACAUGCC